AUUUUUAUACGACCGCAAAAAAAUUUUGUGGUCGUAUAUUGGUAUGACGUUGGCGUCGUCGUCGUCGUCCGGCGUCGUCUUCCGAAGACACAUUGGUUUUCGCACUCUAACUUUAGUUUAAGUGAAUGGAUCUUUUUGAAAUUUGACCAUAAGGUUAAAUACCACAAAAGGAAGGUUGGGAUUGAUUUUGGGGGUUAUGGUACCAACAGUUAAGGAAUUAGGGGCCAAAAAGGGGCCAAAAAUAAGCAUUUUCUAGUUUCCAGACAAUAACUGUGGAACGAUGUAUGGAUCUCUCUGAAAUUAUACUACAAGUUUCCAUACCACAAAGGGAUGGUUAGGAUUUGCUUUGGGGGGUUAUGGCUCAAACCGUUUAGGAAUUAGGGGCAAAAAAGGGGGAAAACCAAGGUUGUCCUGGUUAAUGGACAAAUACUUUAGUACAAAACAUAAUUUAAAGCAGUGUAAGGGAGAUAAAUCAAAUACAUCAUUGAAAUUAUCUCCCUUACACUGCUUUUAAAUUAUGUAUAAAGUAAUGGUUAAUGAACAAUAAAGAUAAUUUAAAACAGUGUAAGGGAGGUAAUCCAAAUACAACGUUUUGGUUACUUCCCUUACACUGCUUUUAAAUUAUGUUUAAAGAAAUGCAUAUUUAUAAAGGAAGACCAGUAAAAAUAUCUGCAAAUGUUGCAUCUUUUUUUUUUACAAAAAAAUCCAUAUGAAAGAUCUGACACUAAAUUUUAAAUUCUAUUAUAAAAUAGAUUAAGUUAGCACUAUGGUAAAUUUAAAUGGGUAAUUAUGGUUGCCAACUCCAUUGGAAAUUUGAAUUGAGAUUAUGACCAUAUCUUGAGGGAAAGAAUUUUUUGGGGGAAAAAAGGGGGGGGGAUAAAAAGAAAUUGUGGGGGGUCAAUUUUUUCUCAUUUCGGAUUUCAGAAUUUAAAAAGAAUUAUUCUUCAGAUAUUAUUUUUUUUUCAAAUUUCAAAUAUUGAAAAAUUUCAAGAAGUAAUCUUUAAUUGCACAGUAUGGCGCAUUAGAUUUGUAAAAUCUUUGAUCACAUUUAUUUAUUUGUUAUGCCGAAUCUAACGGUGUAUUUAGAUUUUUAAUUUUGGGUCCAGUUUUCAAAUUGGUCUACAUUAAGGUCCAAAGGGUCCAAAAUUAAACUUUGUUUGAUUUUAGCAAAAAUUGAAUAUAUGAGGUUCUUUGAUAUGCUGAAUCUAAACAUGUGUUUAGAUUUUUGAUUUUUGGCCCAGUUUUCAAGUUGGUCCAAAUUGGGGUCCAAAAUUAAACUCUGUUUGAUUUCAACAAAAAUUGAAUAUAUGGGGUUCUUUGAUAUGCUGAAUCUAACCAUGUAUUUAGAUUUUUUAUUUGUGGACCCCGUAAUCAAAUUGGUUCAUAUUGAGGUCAAAAGGGUCCAAAAUUAAACUUUGUUUGAUUUCAUCUAAAAUUGAAUUAUUGGGAUUCUUUGAUAUUCCAAAUCUAACCGUGUAUUUAGAUUUUUAAUUUUGGGUCCUGUUUUUUAAAUUGGUCUACAUUAAGGUCCAAAGGGUCCAAAAUUAAACUUAGUUUGAUUUUAACAAAAAUUGAAUUCUUGGGGUUCUUUGAUAUGCUGAAUCUAAGCAUGUGUUUAGAUUUUUAUACGACCGCAAAAAAAUUUUUGUGGUCGUAUAUUGGUAUGACGUUGGCGUCGUCGUCGUCGUCGUCCGGCGUCGUCGUCGUCGUCCGGCGUCGUCCUAAGACACAUUGGUUUUCGCACUCUAACUUUAGUUUAAGUGAAUGGAUCUUUAUGAAAUUUUACCACAAGGUUCAAUACCACAAAAGGAAGGUUGGGAUUGAUUUUGGGGGUUAUGGUAAUAACAGUAAAGGAAUUAGGGGCCAAAAAGGGGCCAAAAAUUAGCAUUUUUGUAACUUCCAGACAUAACUUGUGUGUUAGUGUAUGGAUAUCUCUGACAUUGUACCACAAGGUUCCAUAUCACAAAGGGAAUGCUGGGAUUGAUUUUGGGGGUAAUUGCCUCCAUAUUUUAGGAAUUAGGGGCCAAAAAGGGGCGAAAAACAAGCAUUUUUCUAGUUUCAUGACAAUAACUUGUGUGUAAGUGUAUGGAUCUUUAUGAAAUUGUACUACAAGGUUCCAUAUCACAAAGGGAAAGCUGGAAUUGAGUUUGGGGGUAAUUGCCCAAAAAGUUUAGGAAUAAGGGGCCAAAAAUGGGCCAAAAAUAAGCAUUUUUCUAGUUUCCAGACAAUAACUUGUGUUCAAAUGUAUGGAUCUCUCUGAAAUUGUACUGCAAGGUACCAUACCUCAUAGGGAAGGCUGGGAUUGAUUUUUGGGGGUAAUUCCCUCAAAAUUUUAGUAAUUAGGGGCCAUAAAAGGGCAAAAAACAAGCAUUUUUCUAGUUUCAGGACAAUAACUUGUGUGUAAGUGUAUGGAUCUUUAUGAAAUUGUACUGCAAGGUUCCAUAUCACAAAGGGAAAGCUAGGUUUGAGUUUGGGGGUAAUUGCCCUAAACGUUUAGGAAUUUGGGGCCAAAAAGGGGCCAAAAAACAAGCAUUUUUCUAGUUUCAAGACAAUAACUUGUGUUCAAGUGUAUGGAUCUCUCUGAAAUUGUACUGCAAGGUACCAUACCACAAAGGGAAAGCUGGGAUUGAGUUUGGGCCAAUGGGGUGAUGAAUCAUAAGGGGGUUCAAAAAAAUUUGGGGGAUUUUUUUUCUUUUUUUCAUACAUGUAAACCUCCCGACGGGAGUACAAUAAUCCCGUUUUCAGGGGUCUCCUCCCGACCUCGCGUUGAAGAGAAAAAAAUCCUGUGAAUGAAAUCUGCCCAACAUAUCAUCUCAGACAUCUGGUGUAACUGACAUCACCUGAAGUUAUAUUUUACCUGUAAAUCAAUUAACAUGCAUAAUUAUAUGGCUUCACUUGUCAGCUUGGGUGUCAAACAUACUGGUAAUCAACGAUUUUUACCUCAGGCUAACUGCCGUUGUGUAAUAAAAACUUUGUGUAUUUAUUGGGUUACUUCCCCUGAUUUAUCCUGUUUUAAGUUACUUUCCUUUAAAUAAUGUAAAUUUUUAAAAGAAUAUAAAUAAAAUAUAAAUUGAACAAAUAAUCAUAAAAGGAUGGUAAUUAAAUGAUUUUAAAUGUCUUAGGACAAAUCAAAAAAUAAUAAUUUGAAAAUUAUUUGAGGGUUCUAUACUUUCUUUCAAGGCUUAAAUUGAAUUCAUAUAAUAACUAUGACCCAAGUUUUAAAUUUAAAUGAGUUUCUGAUUAUUCAAAUAAAAUCUAACUGCAAAUGCAGAUAGGUAAACAAAUGAUCUGAUUGCAAUGUUUGUCCUAUAGAAUAAUGAUAUAAAAGAUAUGAAUUAAAAAAUUUAAAGAACAUAUUAAAAAAAAAGAAUCUUAGAUUGAACAUGUAGAAUAUUAAGAUAAAGAAACUUUAUAAGUACAAGGGUACUAUAAACAUAAUACAUAAUACAUUCGGAUUGAAAGUUGAAGAAAAAACACUUUAAAAGACAAUUUUUACAGCACACGGUUACAUUUACGACAAACUUUAUGUCGAUUAAAAACCUCCUGAUCUGAGUUCUAAUCUCCUGACCAAAAUUUUCCAAUCUCCUGAUCUGAGUUUCACAGUCCAUCACAUGUAUGUUUUUUUCUUUAAAAUUUUCCAUUUUAAAUUGGUUAUUUCUGAUGUAUAUAUAAAAGCAAAUAAUAACGAUAUGGUUUGAAUAGGUAAAUUAAAAAAUUUUAAGUUCUUAGACCACUUUCAUUCUGUGUGAGAAACCUAUGCUGUGUCAAAUAUUUAAUUACAAUCCAAAUUCAGUGCUGUAUCAAGCUUGAAUGUUGUGUCCAUACUUGCCCCAACUGUUCAGGGUUCGACCUCUGCGGUCGUAUCAAGCUGCGCCCCAGCGGAGCAUUUUAUUCCAAAUUAA